AGAAUUAAUUCUGAAUAUGUCUAUUGCGGAAAAUACAAAGAGACAGACUUUACAUCUAAGAGAAUGAGUGAACUUAUAAUAAUGGAUUA